rnacentral:rRNA from 1 species
AUUGAACGCUGGCGGCAGGCCUAACACAUGCAAGUCGCGCGAGCGGCGGACGGGUGAGUAAUGUCUGGGAAACUGCCUGAUGGAGGGGGAUAACUUCUGGAAACGGUAGCUAAUACCGCAUACCAUCAGAUUUGCCCAGAUGGGAUUAGCUAGUAGGUGGGGUAACGGCGCACCUAGGCGACGAUCCCUAGCUGGUCUUAGAGGUUGACCAGCCACACUGGAACUGAGACACGGGCCAGACUCCUACGGGAGGCAGCAGGGGGGAAGAUUACACAAUGGGCGCGAGCCUGAUGCAGCCAUGCCGCGUGGGUGAAGAAGGCCUUCGGGUUGUAAAGCACUUUCAGCGGGGAGGCGUUACCCGCAGAAGAAGCACCGGCUAACUCCGUGACAGCAGCCGCGGUAAUUC